AUGCACGCUGGCGGUAUGCUUAACACAUGCAAGUCGCACGGACUCUUCGGAGUUAGUGGCGGACGGGUGAGUAACGCGUGAGAAUCUGGCUUUGGGUUCGGGACAACCACUGGAAACGGUGGCUAAUACCGGAUGUGCCGAGAGGUAAAAGAGAAAUUGCCUGAAGAUGAGCUCGCGUCUGAUUAGCUAGUUGGUGAGGUAAAGGCUCACCAAGGCAGCGAUCAGUAGCUGGUCUGAGAGGAUGACCAGCCACACUGGGACUGAGACACGGCCCAGACUCCUACGGGAGGCAGCAGUGGGGAAUUUUCCGCAAUGGGCGAAAGCCUGACGGAGCAAUACCGCGUGAGGGAAGAAGGCUCUUGGGUUGUAAACCUCUUUUCUUAGGGAAGAACAAAAUGACGGUACCUAAGGAAUCAGCAUCGGCUAACUCCGUG
rnacentral:rRNA from 1 species